UUGCAAAAACAUUGAACAAGAGCGUGGUGAAGGGAAUUGGACCGAGGAGCUCAAGGAAGCCAAUAACCGGAUUUGAGUUAGACUCACCGAGAGGAGCUCAGCAACGUCGGUGAAAGAGCCAGAGGCCGAGGGCGCUUGAACGAGUAGAUCGCGUUUGGUUUGAAGUAGGAGAUGUAUGAGUUGGUAGAAGAGUGCAGAAGCUAUCGGGGCGUGUAGUUCAAGAACCGGCGAAGGAAAGACGGAGUAAGCAGCCGCGCGGGAUGGGUCCGUCUCGAGGAGGAAGACACGGAUCAAGUGCGCCGGUCCAAAUUUUCUAGAGAUUCGAACCACCAACUAAAUAACCCUUCAAACUUUUCGGUAAUCAAUACUCGUGAGAAUUGACUGAGACUCGGGCAU